GAUGAACGCUGGCGGCGUGCCUAAUACAUGCAAGUCGAGCGAACAGACGAGGAGCUUGCUCCUCUGACGUUAGCGGCGGACGGAUGAGUAACACGUGGAUAACCUACCUAUAAGACUGGGAUAACUUCGGGAAACCGGAGCUAAUACCGGAUAAUAUAUUGAACCGCAUGGUUCAAUAGUGAAAGACGGUUUUGCUGUCACUUAUAGAUGGAUCCGCGCCGCAUUAGCUAGUUGGUAAGGUAACGGCUUACCAAGGCAACGAUGCGUAGCCGACCUGAGAGGGUGAUCGUCCACACUGGAACUGAGACACGGUCCAGACUCCUACGGGAGGCAGCAGUAGGGAAUCUUCCGCAAUGGGCGAAAGCCUGACGGAGCAACGCCGCGUGAGUGAUGAAGGUCUUCGGAUCGUAAAACUCUGUUAUUAGGGAAGAACAAAUGUGUAAGUAACUAUGCACGUCUUGACGGUACCUAAUCAGAAAGCCACGGCUAACUACGU
rnacentral:rRNA from 1 species